UCUCCGUUGGUGAACCAGCGGAGGGAUCAUUACCGAGUACUAUAACUCAUAACCCUUUGUGAACCUUCAUACCUGUUGCUUCGGCGGCGCGCCUCUCGGGGCGUGCCCGCCGGCAUUAUCAGAAUCUCUGUUCGAACCCGACGAUACUUCUGAGUGUUCUAAGCGAACUGUUAAAACUUUCAACAACGGAUCUCUUGGUUCUGGCAUCGAUGAAGAACGCAGC
rnacentral:misc_RNA from 1 species